rnacentral:rRNA from 1 species
CCUACGGGAGGCAGCAGUGGGGGAUAUUGCACAAUGGGGGGAACCCUGAUGCAGCGACGCCGCGUGGGUGAAGAAGCGCCUCGGCGCGUAAAGCCCUGUCAGCAGGGAAGAAAAUGACGGUACCUGAAGAAGAAGCCCCGGCUAACUACGUGCCAGCAGCCGCGGUAAUACGGAGGGGCCAAGCGUUAUCCGGAUUUACUGGGGGGAAAGGGGGCGCAGACGGCGAGGCAAGCCAGGAGUGAAAGCCCGGGGCCCAAGCCCGGAACUGCGUUGGGCACUGCGUGGCUGGAGUGCAGGAGGGGCAGGGGGAAUUCCUGGUGUAGCGGGUAAAUGCGUAGAUAUCAGGAGGAACACCGGUGGCGAAGGCGGCCUGCUGGACUGCAACUGACGUUGAGGCCCGAAAGCGGGGGGAGCAAACAGGAUUAGAUACCCUGGUAGUC